rnacentral:rRNA from 1 species
UACGGAGGGUGCGAGCGUUAAUCGGAAUCACUGGGCGUAAAGCGCGCGGAGGUGGUCCGUUAAGUCGGAUGUGAAAGCCCUGGGCUUAACCUGGGAAUUGCAUUCGAUACUGGCGGACUUGGAGUGUGGUAGAGGGAAGUGGAAUUCCCGGUGUAGCGGUGAAAUGCGUAGAUAUUGGGAGGAAAACCAGUGGCGAAGGCGGCUUCCUGGACCAACACUGACACUGAGGCGCGAAAGCGUGGGGAGCAAACAGG